UACAGAGGUCCCAAGCGUUGUUCGGAUUCACUGGGCGUAAAGGGUGCGUAGGUGGUUGGGUAAGUCUGAUGUGAAAUCUCUGAGCUCAACUCAGAAACUGCAUUGGAUACUAUCCGGCUAGAGAAUCGGAGGGGGGACUGGAAUACUUGGUGUAGCAGUGAAAUGCGUAGAUAUCAAGUGGAACACCAGUGGCGAAGGCGAGUCCCUGGACGAUUUCUGACACUGAGGAGCGAAAGCGUGGGGAGCAAACCGG
rnacentral:rRNA from 1 species